UACGGAGGGAGCUAGCGUUGUUCGGAAUUACUGGGCGUAAAGCGUGCGUAGGCGGCUUUUUAAGUCAGAGGUGAAAUCCCGGGGCUCAACCCCGGAACUGCCUUUGAAACUGGAAAGCUUGAAUCAUGGAGAGGUGAGUGGAAUUCCGAGUGUAGAGGUGAAAUUCGUAGAUAUUCGGAAGAACACCAGUGGCGAAGGCGACUCACUGGACAUGUAUUGACGCUGAGGUACGAAAGCGUGGGGAGCAAACAGG
rnacentral:rRNA from 1 species